rnacentral:rRNA from 1 species
GGGAAAAGAAACUUACCAAGGAUUCCCCCUAGUAACUGCGAGUGAAGCGGGAAAAGCUCAAAUUUAAAAUCUGGCGGUCUCUGGCCGUCCGAGUUGUAAUCUAGAGAAGUAAUGCCCGUGCUGGACCGUGUAUAAGUCUCCUGGGAUGGGGCGUCAUAGAGGGUGAGAAUCCCGUCUUUGACACGGACUACCAGUGCAUUGUGGUAUGCUCUCAAAGAGUCGAGUUGUUUGGGAAUGCAGCUCAAAAUGGGUGGUAAAUUCCAUCUAAAGCUAAAUAUUGGCGAGAGACCGAUAGCGAACAAGUACCGUGAGGGAAAGAUGAAAAGAACUUUGGAAAGAGAGUUAAACAGUACGUGAAAUUGCUGAAAGGGAAACGCUUGAAGUCAGUCGCGUUGGCCGGGGAUCAGCCUUGCUUUUGCAUGGUGUACUUUCUGGUUGACGGGUCAGCAUCAAUUUUGACCGCUGGAAAAAGACCUGGGGAAUGUGGCAGCUUCGGCUGUGUUAUAGCCCCUAGUCGCAUACAGUGGUUGGGAUUGAGGAACUCAGCACGCCGCAAGGCCGGGUUUCGACCACGUUCGUGCUUAGGAUGCUGGCAUAAUGGCUUUAAGCGACCCGUCUUGAAACACGGACCAAGGAGUCUAACAUGCCUGCGAGUAUUUGGGUGGAAAACCCAAGUGCGUAAUGAAAGUGAAAGUUGAGAUCCCUGUCGUGGGGAGCAUCGACGCCCGGACCAGAACUUUUGGGACGGAUCCGCGGUGGAGCAUGUAUGUUGGGACCCGAAAGAUGGUGAACUAUGCCUGAAUAGGGUGAAGCCAGAGGAAACUCUGGUGGAGGCUCGUAGCGAUUCUGACGUGCAAAUCGAUCGUCAAAUUUGGGUAUAGGGGCGAAAGACU